rnacentral:lncRNA from 1 species
UGUUUGCAUUUUUUUUGUUAUCACAGCUCUUGUCUUGACAGAAGGAUGGAGCAAGUGGCUGACCAAGAGCCGUUCUUUUCCAGUUUCACAUGAUGCACCAGUUCUGAAGAGGAAGGAAAGGGAUGUUCACAUUCGUGAACAUACCUAACACCCUCACACUUUGUGUUCAUAUAUUGAUCAAAAAAGACAGAAAGCUGAGGGUUUGGUAAAUUCCUCAGCUUGUAUUUCUGUUUCUCUAUUCCUUUUUAUGUUCUAUAUGUGAAAAAGAGCAUUAGCCACAUAUUGCAUGGGGAAAACUAUCCACUGAAAUCAGUGAAGUAUACAGUUUGCACCAGCUGGGGAAUCUGCCUCAGCAUGUUUCAACGUUUGACAGAAAAGCAGUUUGAACCACAUGUGUUUUCACAUGCUGCUUUGCUUACCUCCUUAGAUAUUUACAUUUUGGGCAAUUGAAUUAAUUGCCUGGAAAAGACCACUCUCAAAACAUACACAGCAGGUGCUUCUUCAGCUUAGUUUACAUUAAUUGCUUUUUUUGCUGCUUCAAGAGUCAGCAACACACAAUAUUUUACAAUUAAACUAUCUUGUCACAAUGGUUACGAAGUGAAUCUUGUUUAUCCAAGAUGCCAAUGACUGCUGAUGUGCUCUUUUUUGGAGCCAAGGAAGUGGACUGGGACAGAUCUAAGUCCGUCUGAUUCAGAAACUGUGCUGAAAAACACAUUGACUGGACAGGCAAAGCUAAAGGUGGUAUUUGAGCCUUCUGAUUAUAUCAAGUACAAGGAAAUGGAGUGAUCUUCAGAAGAAUAUUGUAUCAAAUUAAAGUUGUAUGGUUGAAAAUCAAAGUCAGUUCUGAAAAGGUAAUUAUUUCAAUAGAUUGUCUGAUGAUGAUUACUCGUGAAUUGCUGAUGAUGGAGAAUGUAAGACACAAACUGAGCCAUGAAAGGAGCAAUAGAUUCAUAAGAUGUUUCAGACAGUUCUUGCAGAAUGUAGGAAAAGUGUUAGAAGAAUUAAAGACCAA